GUUUUUAUUCACUCAUUUUAUUUUUAGUUAACAAAAAUCUCCACACCUUGUUAUAUUCUACUGUAUUGACUCUGGCCUGGACAAACAAACAGCCUGCUUAAAUCCACCUUUUGGUUUCCUGUUGUGAAGUCAGCGGGCCUGCUCAGCUGACCCUCUGUGAACCUUUGCUUGAACAGUACACCUGGGGAUAUGAGAGAGAGAGCGAGAGAGAGAGGGUGACAGGUGGCUGGUCAGAGCGGUGUCGCGCGCCACACAUGCUCCCGACCAGCUUUCAAACGCGCGCGAGCGUGCUCGAGCCUUUUACGUGCACGCGAGAUUAGGCUGCUCGCAGCCCGAAGCCGGUGAGAGUGUGUGAGCGCUCGUCUUCGGCCGCCGGUCCUCGCAAUCGUCGAAGAGCCCCGGGAAGAUGUCGGUGAUGACUCCGUACCGGGAAACCCGUAGCUAACGGCUGCUACUCCUGCGACCAUUGGAUGUUGUUUUUAAAACUUUUCCUUAGGACGGUUGUUUUUGCGGUGUGGGGAUAAAAAACACCACCCGGAGGGACAGGUGUCACCCACCCUUCUUCCUCCAGUUUUGUGUUUCCUCUCCCUCUCACACUCUUUUUUUUUUUUUUGGGAAACCGAGCAGGACCUUGGGGAGCCAUGCUGUGGACACGCUGGCUCGUGCUGCUGCUCUGCUGGGGGGCGACAGGCAGCGAGCAGCAGGCGGAUGAGAGGGGCGCGGUACCCGCUGAGGUCCGGUCGGACUCCCGCAGAGAGCGCUCACCUCCGCCGGUGGAGCCGCUGGAUUUUGGGUUUGUACCCGCGGCGGUUUACAACACCCACGCUUAUUACGAGCCAGGGAGCAUUGGGAUCCUCUUCCACAUGGUCCACGCGUUUCUCUACAUGGUUCAGCCGAACCUCUUUCCCAAAGAUCUCAUUGUCAAAGUCAUUCAGCAAAACAUGGGUGGAAUCAAAAUAGAGGAAUGGAGAAAGCCAGAAAACGUCGUCUUGUUGCUGCAGUGGAUCCAGUACGAGUCGGGAUUUCUCGUAUGUGCAACCUUCGGCGUCGUGUUUGUGGUCCUUAUCCCCAUCAUAGCUAUGUGCUUCUGCAUGUGUCGAUGCUGUGAUAACUGUGGAGGGGAGAUGCAUCAGAGACAGAGGAAAAACGCAGACUGUCACAGAGGUUUCUAUACCGCCUCGCUGAUUGCUACAACCAUCUUCAUCAUUGUGGGAGUUCUCAUUGCUCUCGCCGCAAACCACAACAUCAGCUCACAGGUCAAAAGCACUCGGCGGCUCAUUAACACCAACAUGAGAGACCUGAAGACGUUCGCUAACAACACGCCUGCUCAAGUCGAUUACCUGACAGCCCAGUACACCACAGCCAAGAACAAAGUCCUGUCAGACCUCGACAACAUCGGCCCUUUGCUGGGGGGUAGGAUCCACAUUCAGCUGGAGAAAUCAGUGAUUCCUUCGCUGGACACCGCCCUGCGUAUGGCAGGAGCCAUGCGGGAAACCAAAGAGGCCCUGGAGAACGUCAGCUCGUCCUUGGAGGUGCUCCAGGACGGGGUGGGGAAGCUUCAGGCCAGCCUGUCAGGGGAGCGCGCCUCUCUGUCCAACACCCUGUCCGACCCCGCCUGCACCAACGGAGCUGUGUCGCAUACCUGUAACACCAUCCGCUCCACACUGUCCCAGCUGGGAAUCAAUGCUGACUUCUCCAAGGUCCCAGAUGUUAAUCAUGCCUUGGCCAAUGUCAAUACUGUCCUGAAAACAGAUCUCAGCAACAUUGUACAAAAGGGUUACGCAUCCUUUAACGACACACCAAGACUGGUUAAAGAGCAAACAAAAAACAUUGUUGCAGCUCUGCCUCGAGUAAAGGGGAUGCUGGAUAAGAUCGGUGCAGAGAUCACCGGCUUCUCCAAGAUGUUCCCCGUGGAAGCUUCUCUGGCGAAUUUCACCAUUUUCCUAAAUGAAAGACACAAAGCUAUUGAGUCUUAUUACCCCCAAAUCGAUCAGAUGGAUUUUUACAGGUGGAUCGCCUGUGUGGCGGUGCUCUGCAUGGUCGUCUUGGUGCUAGCCUUUAACAUCCUCGGCCUUCUGUGUGGUAACUGCGGCUACGACAAGCAAGCUACCCCGACCACCCGCGGCUGCCUGUCGAACACCGGGGGAAACCUGCUGAUGGCUGGUGUUGGCUUCUCGUUUAUCUUUGCCUGGGUGCUGAUGGCCAUCGUUACCACCCUGUUUGUUGUUGGUGGCAACGUGGAAAAGCUGAUAUGUGAACCUCUGGCUAACAGACAGUUGUUUAAGAUCAUUGAUACGCCGUUCCUGGUCCAUCCUGAAAAGAGGAACUUCCUUCCUGGGAUGUUGUUCCAGAAUCCAAAUAUUGAUUUAACUCUAGGCGGCAUGUACAGGGAGUGCUAUGACAACAACGGUCUGUAUCACGCUCUGCAGUUGGAGACCAUGUUCAACAUUAACUCCUUCCUCAACAGAACAGUGUACAACAGGGACCUGGCCAAAGUGUUUGAUAGCGUGCAGGUGGACCUGCAGGGCAUCACGCUGCUGGAGCAGGCUGGCAGAGACAACCUCAUCAACUUUGCCAACUCUGGAAUUGGACAGAUUGACUAUCAGGCUUAUCUCACUGAGGUAAAUAAAGGAGUCACUCUAAUAGAUCUGCUGUCCUUCUGUAGCGACCUGGAGGCUCAGGCUGACCAGCUGCCACGUGGUGCUCUGGAGAACGCACUGAGAGGCCAUGCCAGCAGUAUUAGAUCCAUUCACAGAGAACAGGUGGUGCCACUGGAGCAAGCAAUGAGUACGCUGCACCAGAGUAUCAAACAGCUGCAGAAGACAUCGAACGACCUGCCAGUCAAAGUCACAAAUGUCCUGAGUGCCAUUGAUGCAGCAGAGUACCUCAUCACUCAUAAUGCCUCCCACGUGGUGAAGCAGGAAACAAAGGUGUAUGUGCAGGGCUUGGUGGGAUACUUCAAACAGUACACAGAAUGGGUUAGAAACUCUCUAAGUGCAGAGGUGGCCCAGUGUAAACCCAUCAGCAACAUUGUGGACAGUAUGGAAAUAGUAGGAUGCAGCUUCAUAAUCGACUCAGUGAACACAUUCUGGUUUGGUCUCGGAGGCUGCUGCAUCCUGCUCAUCCCCAGCAUCAUCUUCUCUGUCAAACUGGCCAAGUAUUACAGAAGGAUGGACACAGAGGACGUCUUUGAAGAUAUGGCUAAUACAGGUAAUCACGAUGAACAGGUGUGUGAUAUCCAUGGAAACCUUGCCAUCAGCUCUCCCUAUUGUGACACUCUGACUCGGUUCCCUCGGGCCUCUGCCCCCCCGAGCUACUCAGUCUGGUGACCCACUGGAACUCUCUCCCUGCUGAUGAGUGGACAGGAGAACUGGAACUGAUCUUCCCUUUGUGGAUCACCGGCUGUUUAAGCUUCCGAUUCAGAUCUUUUAACACUUCCAAGGACAAAAGCGAAGAACAGUCAUCAACUCUGCGAUGAGGGCGUCUUUCAGCAGUCCUUCAGGCCAUUUGACAAAACCAUUAAUGCCAGCAAAAUCCUAUGAAGUGUUUUCUCGACCCCUUUACCAUUUUAUUAUGUACACCAACAGCUGCAUGUUUAGCUGCAUAGAGAAUCAAUUUGUACUUACAUGAUCAGUUUUAAACAGGGCGACACAAGUGUACAGUUUUUACACUUUCAAGUCUUUUGAAAGUUUUAUAUAUUUUUUGUUAAACUUUGUUUUAUAACAUGUAAGUAGGUUUUGGAGUAAUAGCUUUCUUUUUCUCUGUGAAUAUUUGUAAUAUAGCUUACAUAAUUUGCAUCAAACAGGUUGCACUUAGCAGGUGUUUAUUUAAGGAAUUGUUUGACCAUUUGAAAAAAAAAAAGUAGCUACUCCCUUUCUUUCAGAGGGUUAGAUGAGAAGUUUAUGUGAAAUUCAAGCAGCUGGAAAGCAAAACAACGAAGAGAAAAACAGGCUAACAUUUGUGUUACAUGCACUCUCAAUAGUGCCCAAAUUGGCAAAAGUAAAAAAGGGAGGAACCACCGACACAGUUCAGCCAAUAGGAGAAAAAUGCCAUUGCUAGGUAACAGAGUUAUCAUCAGAGUAUGGUCACUGAUGGCCAUGAUGUUACUCACACAGUAUAAAACACGGAUGUAGCUUCCAGGUAUCAAAAGUGAAGUCAAUACAGACGCUGCAUUGUUUUUAUAAACCACCAGGGGGCAACGUGUGGCUAAAAACACUGUAGAAGUCUCUGCUGAGUUCAUGGGCUCUGUCACUUAUUUUGGGUCAAUACUGACUAACAAGUUAAGUCUGUUUUGUAAGUCUUGGUCAUGUUAUGUUUCAGAAAGAAGGAUUAUCCAGGAUCUGCUCACUGACUUGCGAUCGGUAAGUUGGUAGCCAGUGAGCGAGCAGUUUCAGUCUGACCCGCCCAUCUGUCAUCGUAUCUCGUUUUAAAAUACGAAUAUGGCAACAAAAGCUUCAGGAAGGGAAUUCAGAAAGCAGCAGGUGAUAUCACAGUAGUAAGUCCAUCUGUGACCCCCCCCCAAAAAAAUAGGCAAAACAUUGUGUAGAGUAUAAAAGAAUUUGUCGAUAUACUUUGUGCGGUCAGAGGAUCCACAGUUUUUAAACAUUUGUAAAACUCGGCAGCUAGAAAGACGAUGGUGGUCAAACGGUGGAUCGUCUUUUCCAGUAAGUGCAAAACUUGCUUUGCUCAGUCUAAGCACAUUCUGCAGCCAAGCAUGUAGUGUACAUGUCAUCCUUCAUAGAAGUGGAUUAACUGAAAUAAGACACAAACCAACCAGCCAAACACAUCAGAUUUAUGAAUCAAUGGUGAAACAAGGACAAGUAAUCUAUCUUUGAUUUAGGCUGCAGAAAACUUCAUCAAGUAGCCACCCAUAAAUAUCACCAGGACACAAAAGCACACACCACCUGGUGCUUCAGGUGAAAGUGACACAGAUCUCAUCUCUCGUGGGAAUCUACCAAACAGCUGUGCAGCUGUGUUUUUGACCAAAGAGUUGAAUCAGCUAACAUUCGGUGAGAGUUUGUGUCUUUUCUAAGCAUUUACAUGUCACAGCAGACUAGACAUGUUUUGAGCUGUUUCCACACUUUAUGUCCAAAUCUCAGUUAACCACAGAGCAGAAGUGCUAAUAUUCUCAGCUAACUCAAGACAAAAGCGAAAAGGUAUUGAAUUAUUCAUUUAAGCAGCAAAGCGGCAGCUCUGCUCGGCUCAGUACAUCCUGGAAACAUGAAGACUGCACAGUUUACUACAAAGUGUUACAAGCUAUUAAAUACACAUGUUUGCUUAGUCUAUUGAAUCAGCCUUUAUUUAACUAAAUUUAAUUCAGUCCCUGUUUAUGUUGUUGUUUGUUGUUCAUAAAAACUGUAUGUAGGCUGUCAACUUGUUUGAUCAGCUUCAAAAGUUUGGUAAGCACUGUUUUAACAGGAUUUAAGGAGAGAUGACACACAAAAUAUCAUGUUUCA